rnacentral:pre_miRNA from 1 species
GUACUACUCGCUCCGUCCAACAAAAAAUGUCUCAAGUUCGUCAAAAAUUGGAUGUAUCUAGACAUGACUUAGUGUAUAGAUGCAUUCAAAUUUAGUCAAAGUUGAAACAUUCUUUGUUGGACGGAGAAAGUAGAAU